GUGUGUGUGUGUGUGUGUGUGUGUGUACCUGUCUGUUCAGGGUCUGAGGGAGGGAUCCAUGCUGCUGGUGGAGGGAGACAAAGCCACGCUGCUGGGAACCACCAGGGCCAGACUCUUCACCAGGGGAAAGCCUUCAGUGGAGUACGAACCAGGAAGUGACCUCAGCUUCCUGCUGACUCACUGACCAAUCAGAGAGCAGAUCUGGACGACAUUUUGCUCCAAACAGAAUAAAAAUUUGACAGAAACGUCA